AAGAAAUAGAUUUCCAUCUCGCUAUAUCUCAUUGAGAUUUAAUCUUCUCCCAACUACCUCGGCUAUCAAGCUGAGGUUUUU
rnacentral:ncRNA from 1 species